GGGCCAGGGGGUCUCCUUAUAUAGUCCCCUCAAGUGAAUCUAGGUCGUCGGAUCAAACCGAUAUUAAUCGCACGAUUUUCCUUGAUCCUUUAGGUCGGUGGACCAUAAUCCGCGAGGUUGGUUCUGAUUGGUUCCUGUAGCUAGGCGGGCGCCCAAGGGGGGAGGGCGGGCGCCCUGCCCCCGAGCCCACUCGGCUUCCCGUUCGUUCCCGUGGCUUCUGGAGUCUUUUAGAUGAUAGAAAAUUGCGCGGCACGUUAAUAUCUCUAUGUAAACCUGACGUGUGGGUCUUUCCUCUAUAUUUGCUGAUAACCCCCUGCAGAAAUAGACAAACACCAAAACUCGUGGAAUUCUGUCAGAUAAAACCCUAAGUCCGGGUGUUGGUUGCAUUUGGAUCCUUUUCUUUGUUUAUUUGAUGAUUAAAUUUGAUACUUAAGGACUGUCAACAAACACCCCCAAGCUUACCUCUUGCUCGUCCCUGAGCAAGGAUGGACUUAGUGGUUUCAUGCCUUAAAGGUACACAUGCAUUCAAAAAAGAUCUCAUCUCUGGGUUAGGGUAAACUGUAGACUUAAAACUUACUCAUUUUACCUUUCACCAUGGGGCUUGUAACCGUCAUUUAUGUCUUGAGCAAUUAAAAGAUAAAUGGUCAAGUCAAGCACCAUGUCUCUUAUUCUUGAUCAGCUAUAGCUCUGGAGUUUUUUUUUGUGGAUUUUCAAAUAAAACUCAGAGAUUCCUUGUAUGACUCUCUCAAAUCUCUUUUUUGUAGUAUUUCUGGAUCCUUUCCAAGGCAGUAAUGGUAUAUGCCUUCUCUCAAAGUAUUUGGUAUUUUUGGUAUGAGGUAUAGUGAUAUUGCCUUCUCUCUCGCCCUACUCUAAUAAGGUUUAGCUAAUACAUACUUACAAGACAUUUAUUGCAUAGUCAAACAAUGGAUCUAGAGAAAUAAGUGAAUAAGUCAAUAUCAAGAUGUGCAUGUGUGGCGAAUGAAUGGUGUAUGGUGAUGAUGGUGAAAACAAUGGUGAAAGUCUAAUUCUACUUUUGCUCUUUUGAGGGGAUACAUACCUUUCUUGCACUUUGAAGUUUUUGAAGGGAAUGAGAUGCUCUAUAUUUUCUUUUUCUUUUCUCUCAGGUGGGUAUCGUGUACCCCUAAUUCUACUGUCGGACACUUGUCCAUUUUUACCUCUCGUCUCACUUUUUUCUUCUUUUUUUCCGAGGUUUCGGGUACUUGCCCCUUUUUAUUUCCUCAUAUUCACUUUUUUAGAGCACUCAUCUCCUAAAAUAAUAUAGCAAGUGGUAGUAACCAAGAUAACUCGAGCAUUUAUUUCACAGGAAAAAACAGGGAUAGGAUAAUGAUUUUGGCUAUUCUCUCCUUGAUAGGAGUAGAAUAAUUUUGGGUGAAUCUGGCGAUGGAAAGGAGUGGAUGUAUGUGGAUACGUACUUCCGGAGUAGAAACAGCAUGUAUGAGUGAACGUGCAAGUGAAUCUUGAUUUUAACCACAUGACAAGCUCCUAAGGCUCUACACAGCUUGACCACACUCAAUGCUCAUAAGUAGUAAAAAGUAAAUGUGUGGCUCAAAGUCUAGCAAGCAUGUAUAUAUGGCUGUGGUAGGAAUUUAAACUCUCAUCAUACAAUAACUCAUCAUGCAACAUUUUAAUGAUUUUCAAAGAUAAAAUUCUUCAGAAUUCUAGCAUCUCUAGGAACAGAUCAACAGCAGCUCAACCUUUCCAUAUCAUAUCCGUUAACGACUUAGACUUUAGAUCAAGUACUCUUCCCACAAGUUCAGGUUUAGAGCAAAACUUAAUUCAUAACAAUCAUGCCUAAACUUGAGAUAGAAUUUAAUUUUGAGAACUAGUCAUGGCAGAGCAACUAUUCAUCAUUUCCAUGUGAGAGCUUAUCAUUACGGUUCAUAGCAAACUUUAUUUAUUUAUUUAUCUAGCAAACUAAGCAAAGAUAUAUAUAUAUAUAUAUAUAUAUAUAUAUAUAUAUAUAUAUAUAUAUAAGCACAAAAUCUUUAUUUUGGGUUUUUAUGAUUAUGCAUCUUUUUAUUAUUUGAGUAAAGUAUAAACAUGAGUAAAAACACUUAGCUGGAUAAAUGGGGGUGCUGUCCCCCAAGCUGGAUUUUGAUGUAAUUUUUUUCUGAUGUAGCUAGCAGGUGGCGGAGGUGUAUUUGAAUAUCGGCAGCACCCUGACAGCGAUUAGGAUAUCCACCAUCUGCUAGUCUUCUUUGAUCCUUGAAUUCUGUUGAGCUCAAAUAGACAACAAUGCUUUGUGGAACUGGUUAAGUGUUAGCAUAAAUAUCUAGCCUUUAUCAUGUUGAGCCUCCUCAAUAAAUGUUAUUCUCUUUAGUGGGAUCACAAUCUUAUUUUUAUAUUUUUAUUUUUAUAGGACAGGAAUAUAUUUAUUUUAUUUUUACGCCACCACAGUGAAUGUACUUAUGGGUUUUAUGCCACGAGCAUACUCACAUGGGGCUUACUAUUUUUAAUAUUUUUAAUUUCUUAUAGAGAUAGCAUGAUUAACUAACAAGAUAUUUAAGGAAAGUAAAUAAUUUAAAGGGAAAAGGGAAUGCAGAAAGGAUAAAUAUGGAUAACUACUGAUUUUACCUUUCGGCGAGGGUUCAAUGUUUUUAGGUCUUCUGAACAAGACUUCUCACCGUGUUCAUUCUUCAGGUGCGUCAUUUGAUUCAGGUGCGGACCUUGACGUCUGCACCUCUUGAUACGGUGUCACCCAUGUUCUUCGUUUGCCCAGUAGUUCAAAGUGCGGCGUUGGCAGUAUCUUGCUCACUGUGUUUGUGCUCGUAGAUCUAGGUCCUUCACUUGGUGGAGUCUGGGAGUUGUAAAAAUCCACCAUGUUUUGCUCGAAGUGUACCUGCUAAUAGAGACAAGGCAGAGAUCAAGUGCAUGGGUCCUGUUGGUGGAAAACACCAACAGAACCAAAAGUAUAUUUGUUCUUCUCUAACCUUAAGCAUAGUGGGCAAGACAAAUUUGAUGGAUAAUAAGAUCAUGAGUGUAGCAUUUAAAACAUUUGUCAGAUCAGAUCGCUCAACCUUAUGGAAAGAUAAUCUAUCUAUGUAUAUGUCUUUUUCUUUAUAUCUUCCCAAAGAUUGAAUGUGCAACAUUUUAGCUCAUAUGAUUAGGAGUGUAGGAUCAUGGAGGUAGUACUAGGAACAAAGAUUAAAGGAUUAAACAUGCUGAAUCAGUUGGGUUGGUUAAUUUGGAGUUAUAAAUCAUACAUGUUUGUCUCUUUAUUUAUGUGAACGCCACGACCAAGGAGAAGCUUAUGAAAGUGAUAGUCACAUAUGUUAAGAUGUUACCUUAAUUGAAGAGUGAUGGUACCAUCUCACCUUGUGGAAGCUUCCCAUUCGUAGUGGCUGUGUAUCUUGUUUAUGUACAUUGUCUCCUUCCAUGGAUGAUCUCUCUAUGAUGAAUGAGCUAUGUCCUUCUUGUGCAAAUUGUUAAACUUCACGUGUCUCUCUCUUCAUCUCCGAUGUGAGUUUAUCUUAGGACUUCCCAAAUCGAUAUUGAAAGUAUUUCUGCAGGGGUUAGUCCGAUAAAAUAUACCAAUGUCUACACAAGCAAUUUUUAGUUCAAUAACCGAACUAGACUCCAUGUCUAAUCAGAUUAAGGAAGGUUGUUUAACCUAAGCACCAUGCUUAAUUUAAAAGCCAAUAGAAGUAUGUGCAGUACUUCCAAACUAACACUUACUAGGAUAAACAAAGGUAGCAUGAUGGCAUUUAUAAAUAUCUACUCAAGUGGAGAUGAAGUAGUGUGAUAAGUAUUUAACAAAUUGAGCAUGUCUUAAAGGUAGGGACAACCAACAUAACAACAUGGCAAAGGGUAUUUUUAUGUAAGGUACUCCCCCAAGCUUGAAUUUUGCAAAAUUCAAGUUUGGAUGAAUUUCAUUCAGUGUUGCAUGAUGUUUGGUUGCACAUACCUUGUGCUUGUCGUUCAUCCGAUCUUCUUGCUCCAAUCCUAGAAAGGUUAGUGACAAGAAUACCCGAAGGAAUAUUUUCACAAUUAUCUUUAUAUGCUCAAAACACAAGGUAAGGUUGUAAAUAAUUAAAAGCUCAUGUUACGAUCUGAUCAGUGCUUAUUUUAGGACACUAAGCUUGUCCUUGGGAAACCAUCAAUUUAUGUCGGCGAAGUGGUUUCCCUUCCAACACUGACCUUUAUCAAGAUCAACUCAACGAGAUCUGCAAUAUUUAUUAUAGACAUAUGCAUCGACAACGCCCUUUUAAAGUUUUUAUAAAUAGAAAGGAAGAGGGGGUUGGAGAUCUCAAAUGUGGUGAUGUUGGAGAGACCAAUAGAUUGGGAAGAUGUUGCAUAUGAGCAUGGAGUAAACGAAGUGGCUAUGAAACAAAUUCCAUGCUCAUUGAUGUUAUCUUCGUCUCCAAUCUAAAUGUUCGGAGUUUCUCCUGGAUUGGUCUCACCUAUGUCCUCUUCUGUAGUUGGAUGAAUCUCAUCUUCAAAGGGAGUCAAGAACUCACCAUUUGAAAUUGAGCCAAAGUCAGAAUCCAUUAAGGCUACUUCCUUAUCCAUCCAUUCUACACAUUCUAGCCAUUUAGAACUUGUGAUCAGGAAAGGGGAGGUGUUGGCAUUUUCUAUAUGGCUUAGCUCUCCUUCUAUGACAUUACUUGACAUCUCAUCCUCAUGGUCUUUAUGACUCCUAUGGUUUGAUCGUCUUGAUGGAUUGUUAGGAUCAUCAUGAGACUUAAAAGGAGAGGGAUAAGAGGGGUCUCUAAGGUCAAGGAUAGAUUUAGAAUUUGUGAACAUGGAAGAGGAGCAGAUAGAAUCUUCUAUAUGGUUUAGCUCUCCUUCACUUGAUAUGUCAUCCUCGACUUCUUCAUAACAGGAAUUAGGACAUUCUCUAAGAGAACCAUUAUUGCUAGGAUUUGAAUUAUCCCUGCUUGAAGGUCUCUUAUGGAACCAGAAGUCUAAACCAUCAGCAUCUGAAAGAUUUAAGGUGAAGUUGUUGUGAUCUGGCUAUCGAAACUAUUUCUUCUUGUCUCGGAACUGGUUCUUUCUCUUUCUCAGGGAUAUAAAUGCUAGGAAACUUUCCACUCAAUGAAUCAAUUAAAUCCCUAGCUUCACUUGCAGGUAGGUGAUAGAAGGAUCCUCUAGAGGCUAUAUUCAAGGUUUGCUUAUUUUCCCUACUAAGGCCCUCAAAAAAGUGAAUUAGAAGAACUUCUUCUAGAAUAGAAAGCUUUGGGCUAGUGAGAGUAAGGUUAAUAAAGCGGUCCCAUGAUUUGCCAAUAGAUUCUUCUUCCAAUUGUCUAAAAGAAAUAAUCUCACGCCGAAGUUCCACCACUUUGGAGAUUGAAAAAUAUUUAAAAAGAAAACUAUUAUAUAACUCCUUCCAAUCUCCAUGAACACUCCCUACUUUGAGUUUGGACCAAUGUCUAGCUUUUCCUGUUAAAGAGAAUGGAAAGAGCUUCCAUUUAAGGGUCUCAUAGGACAUGCCUUCUAUGCGAAGAAGGUCACAGACUCGAUAAAACUCUCUUAGGUAUGUGUAUGGGUUUUCUUCACCUUCUCCUGAGAAAGGUUGUUUUUGAACAAAUUCUAUGUAUUCGGGGUCUAUCUCCAAACUAGAUGCUAUGAUAGGCUUCGAAGAUUUUGGUGGUUCGAGAUGUGUGCCCGUAGGUCUAUGAAACUAAUAGAUAGACAUGUUUGCAUUCAUGAUAGACCAGAAAUCAAGGAUUAGAUAAGAAGAAAGAAUAGCAGAGAUGAGGCAAAGGAUUAAAGGAAAUAUAUUUUUUUUAUUUUUUAGAAAAUGAUUAAGCUAGUUUGUAGACAACUCACCAACCGUUUCCCCGGCAACAGCGCCAAAAAUGCUUGUUGACACUUGCUAACACCACUUGAAUACUAGGUUGUCAUCCCCAGCAUGGCACUAGAGUGUACUAUGGUAUUUAUACGCACACAGAUAAAUCCGCAAGCGCACGGAUACCGCUGUACCUUUUACCCGGUUAAAGGUUUUAUCAUAUCCACAGGGAAGCGGGAGAACUGAUCUACGCUCUAACUUAACCUAGAUAGAUAGGUAGGUGUAAAUAGGAAAGAUGGUAGAAUUGAAUAAGAACAAUAUUAAAGGUAAGAUAACAAUGGGUGAUAAUAUGGGAAUAGAAAGUAGAGCAAUUCUAGUAUAUGGGUGAUGGUAGGAGAAUAGAGAGGAUAACUAUGGUUUCUCUACUUCAAAGGGGUAUGUCUAUGUCUGGGACGAACCACGUGAUAAGAAUACACCACAAAGGAUGCUUAUCCAUAGGCUGAUAAACCCUACCCGUCCUGCUAGCAGGAGGUGGACUACAGGGGACCAACGUAACUGUCACCUACGCGGCCUACCACACGAUCCAGCUAGACAGGGGAUAUCCACAAGUAAUCUAGGUCUAAGCACCUCGCUUACACCUAUACUACAACUCUCACCUGUAGCGUCCUAUAGAUUAAAGUACUCAAAAGAGUUGUGAACCAGAACAUACAUGGAUAGUAAUUGCAUAAUGAAAUAGAAGUAGAUUAGCAAAGUCAUCCCAUGAGCAAGCUUGAUUAGAACUUGAUCAUGGUGAAGUACAACCGGAGGAAGAACCGACAGGCCGGCCUCUCCUCCAAUCCUUCCUCGCUCUCCAUCUCGCUACUAUCUAGAUCUACUCUAGUUUAGAGAUGAGAGGAGUGCUCUCAUCUCCAAACCCUAGCUUUUGCUCUGUCUAUGAAUAAUGAAUAGGGAUCAAGGGGGUGCCUCAUCCAGGGGCCAGGGGGUCUGCUUAUAUAGUCCCCUCAAGUGAAUCUAGGACGUCGGAUCAAACCGACAUUAAUCGCACGGUUUACCUUGAUCCUUUAGGUCGGUGGAGCAUAAUCCGCGAGGUUGGUUCUGAUUGGUUCCUGUAGCUGGGCGGGCGCCCAAGGGGGGAGGUCGGGCGCCCUGCCCUUGAGCCCGCUUGGCUUCUCGUUCGUUCCUGUGGCUUCUGGAGUCUUCUAGAUGAUAGAAAAUUGCGCGACACGUUAAUAUCUCUAUGUAAACCCGACGUGUGGGCCUUUCCUCCAUAUUUACUGAUAACCCCCUGCAGAAAUAGACAAACACCAAAACUCGUGGAAUUCUAUCAGAUAAAAUCCUAAGUCCGGGUGUUUGUUGCAUUUGGAUCCUUUUCUUUGUUUAUUUGAUGAUUAAAUUUGAUACUUAAGGACCGUCAACACAGGAUAUGACAACAUAUGGCUCAUAAGAUAUCGAAGUAAAAAUGCGGAAGCAAAGAAAUAUGAGCCAAGCACAUGACAUGAAUAUAUGAUCAUGAAGCACAAGUCAUGUCUCACAACCAUAAAAGUAUAUCUCACAAACAAAGUAUCUCACAAAUGCAUGAACGUAAACAUGAUGCAUGAUAAGCACACAAAAGAAUCAACCCACUCACAAGCUCCCCUAUCUCUAACAUACUCUACUGUCUCUCCCCCUUUGGCAUCAAGCGCCAAAAACCUAAGAAGUAGAAGGCGGAUAAGGAGCAGAGGAGUCCCGUGGCACUGCCUCGAACUGAGCUGCAUCAUCAUCAGUGCCAUGUGCGGUAGACUCUGAGGAAGCUGACUGACCCUCUAAAGAAGCUCGAGCUAGAGUAGCAGUCUAGGUCGGCUCUAUGGGCUCUGUGGCUAUCUGUGUCUGUGCUAGAGUCUCAAGUCCUGCUGAAGAGACUGGCACUGACUCAGUAGGUGUCACUGAGGUCUCUGGAACUGUAGAGGACGGUGCAAGCUGCUCACACGACGCGACUGACGACGAUAGAUGCUCUGUUGUGGUGACUAGCAUGGUAAAGGCUGUAGGAGCCUGCUGAGGAGGUGGAGUAGGCUGACCAGUCAGAGCACUAUAUGAGAAUAAGAUAUCCUAUACUGCUGAAGAAUCCAAUACAAGCUAAGAGGUGGUGGCAGACUGAGGUGUGAAACCAGAGAAUAGAGGGGUCAACUGAGGCAUCUGCUCAAAGCUAGAGGACAUAGCACCCUAAGAGACUUGGUGUUAUGAAGUCGUGAAUGACUAGCUAUGAGCAGGUAGCUAGAGCGGAGGCUAAGGCUGACUCUGAAGCCCACUGGGCUAUAACACUGGAGUCGGUGGCCUGACAGUGGAUGUGCCUGGAAGGUGCACCUAUGGUAACUGGAUCCCUGUCGCUGCCAUAAGAGCUGCCAUUAGCGUUGUUUGCUGGGCCUGAAAGGCUAACUGCUGCUCCUGGAAGGAGAGAAGCUGACACUGAAGCUCGUCCUGCCUGGCCUGCAUGGCUGCAUUAACUAUAGCCUGCUCUAUGUCUCUCCUAGCCCGCUCCUCAGCUGCCCUCUACUGAUCUGCCCUCAUGCCCUCAAGUAUAGCAAGAAGUGUUCGGUCUAUGGCACUAGAGGAACCUCCUGCCUCAUGAUCGUGCUGCCUCAGAGGGAGAUCUAGAAUAGGUAGGUGAUAAUCAUCAUCUGACUUGUCUGAAGCAAAGUCAAACUCCCCCUCGGCCUCUACACCUGCAACUGACCCAAUAGCUAUGUCCUACUCCUCCUCUGUCUCUAGAACUACCCCUGAACUGCGAGUGGCCCUGGGUGAAGCUAGUGGAGCUCUGCCAUGUGGUGCUGGAGGAGGUGCUAGAGCUCAGAGAUACACAUGUGCCCUCAUCAUCUAUCGGGGGUCAUAGUGUGGGAACACUGUCUCUAUGUCGGCCAGCUCCCUCUGAAUAUAAGGUGGGAGAGGGUCUACUGUUGACGUCCUUAAGUACCAAAUAUAAUCAUCAAAUAAAUAAAGAAAAGGAUCCAAAUGCAACCAACACCCAGACUUAGGGUUUUAUCUGACAGAAUUCCAUGAGUUUUGGUGUUUGUCUAUUUCUGUAGGGGUUUAUCAUGAAAUAUGGAGGAAAGGCCCACAUGUCGGGUUUACAUAGAGAUAUUAACGUGCCGUGCAAUUUUCUAUCAUCUAGAAGACUCUAGAAGCCAUGGGAACGAACGGGAAGCCGAGCGGGCUCGGGGACAGGGCGCCCGCCCUCCCCCCUUGGGCGCCCGCCUUGGUGUUUCGGACAAUCACGUUCUACUUCGCGGAUCAUGCUCCACCGACCUAGAGGAUCAAGGAAAACUGUGCGAUUAAUGUCGGUUUGGUCUGACGGCUCAGAUUCACUUGAGGGGACUAUAUAAUCAGGCCCCCUGGCCUCUGGAGGAGGCAAAGCAUUUUUGGCGCCGUUGCCGAGGAGACGGUUGCUGAGUUGACUGCGAACUAGCUUAAUCAUUCUCUAAAAAAAUGAUAUAUAUAUAUAAAUAUACUUUUCCUUUUAUCUUUUGCCUUAUCUCUACUAUUCUUUCUUCUUAUCUAAUCCUUGAUCUCUGGUCUAUCAUGAAUGCAAACAUGUCUAUCUAUGAAUUUAAUAGACCUACGGGCACACAUCUCGAACCACCAAAAUCUUCAAAGCCUAUCAUAGCAUCUAGUUUUGAGAUAGACCCUGAAUACAUAGAAUUUGUUCAAAAACAACCUUUCUCAGGAUAAGGUGAGGAAAACCCAUACACACACCUAAGAGAGUUUUAUCGAGUCUGUGACCUCCUUCGCAUAGAAGGCAUGUCCGAUGAGACCCUUAAAUGGAAGCUCUUUCCGUUCUCUUUAACAGGAAAAGCUAGAGAUUGGUACAAACUCAAAGUAGGUAGUUAUGUAAUAGUUUUAUUUUUAAAUAUUUUUCAAUCUCCAAAGUGGUGGAACUUCGGCAUGAGAUUAUUUCUUUUAGGCAACUGGAAGAAGAAUCUCUUGGCAAAUCAUGGGACCGCUUUAUUAACCUUACUCUCACUGGCCCAAAGCUUUCUAUUCCAUAAGAAGUUCUUCUAAUUCACUUUUUUGAGGGUCUUAGUAGGGAAAAUAAGCAAACCUUGAAUACAGCCUCUAGAGGAUCCUUCUAUCACCUACCUACUAGUGAAGCUAGGGAUUUAAUUGAUUCAUUGAGUGGAAAGUUUCCUAGCAUUUAUAUCCCUGAGAAAGAGAAAGAAUCAAUUCCUAGACAAGAAGAAGAAGUUUCGAUAGCCAGAUCACAACCACUUCAAUCCCAAACAUUAGCUAUCGAUCCUAUCUGUUGGUGCAAAAGCUGAUCUGCAAACACAAAGGGCUAAUACCCGUUUCAAACGUUAAGGCGUGCCAGCCGAUUUGACCUUACUAUCGGCAAAGGUGAUAACUCGAAUACUUUGGUCCCGACAACAGCGAUGCGCCCGGAUGUCACAGCCAAGAGGUAUUCACGUGGAACUCGAGAAUACGCCGAGCUCAAGUCGACGAAUUCCUAAGAACUCGAAAUAAAAAGGAAAAUAUCACGAAUUCAUCGAUAAAGUAGGUACUGGAAUAUGAGUAAAAACUUGUGUUUGAUUGAUUGAUAGAUUGUCCAUUACAAGACCCUAGGGUCUACAUUUAUACCCUACUCAAAGAGCUACAAUCUGACACGACUAGGACUCGAAUUCCAAACUAAAUAGAAUCCGCACACAAAAUGAAUUUAAAUAAUUAAGGAAAACAUAAAACUAUCCCCUUGUAACCGACCGGGACACCACCACAGAUCAAUCGGCAAUCUCCAUGCUUUCCUUCAGAACCAUCGGUAGACUUCCUAUUAUGGCCAUCGGCAAACACCAAUACUGAUCAUCGGCACAAACAUGUCACCACCUCUGGACUUAGUCACAUUCAAUUGUCUCUUCAUCGGCAAUCACCCCAUCGGCAACUUCCCCGUAGACUAGUUACCGUUGCUCCGUCUGCCGAUCUGAUCCUCGGGUACAUGUCUAAAAACGGUGUCAACACAUCCCCCCAAUUUCGGAGUAUAAAAUCAUUAAUGCUCUGAAAUUCUCUGCAGUAAUGAUACCUUUCCGCAAUUAACUCUCCCAAUUUGGUAACCGACCAUUAAAUCUGAACAACCUUGGCCCGAUUCUCCUGCAGAUUCCUCAAACUCCUCAACCUCUCGAACCGGAUCUCUCCACUUUAUGCACCCAUCGGCAAUAUUACCAUUAGAGGGAACUGCCGAUGGACCGACCAGGAGAUCCCGCACAGUGAAAUAUCUUCAAAAUUGUGACCGCUUGCUGUCAAACCACCUGCGCAAUCCCUUGAUUACCGUGCAAACAGUUAUCAUAUCCACCUGAACACCCUCGGAUUUCACAGAUGCGGCAAAGAGAUAAAUUAAAUCUGCCCCUGCCCGUUUUGUCCUAUAAAUACUUCCUUCUCGGGUACCCCUUCUCCACCUUGUCAUUCUACAACCUAAAAUCCACCUUCGCCGCGACGGCACCACCCGAGGAUUCCAAGAACUUCAACGAAGGCCAUCUUCACCAAUCUCCCAAGUCUCCGAUCUUAUUCCUCGCAAGAAAAUGGCCAUCAACUUUACCGUGCCUGAGGUCAAUUCACUACCCUUCUUUUCUGCAUCUUUACUGUACUCCUGUUCGUCCGCGAUUUCUUUUACUGAAUACUCCUUUUUUCCUUUUUUUGUUCUUUCUUUCAUCUUCACAAACCUUUAGGAUCUGGCCGAUAAGAUCAAUAUCCCUACUGAUCAACCUCACCUCCAUUGUCUUGGCCCGCUAGGAAACCCAGAUCCCACUGAUCUAAUAAACGCAGAAACGAACAGAGUUCCUUUUAGAGCCGAAAACUUCUCCCUAGAUCUAUGGAAGGAUGCCUUCCGUUCCUGGCCCAGUCCUACCAAGGGAUGGAAGGAUUGGUUCUUGAGAGUCAGUUAUUCAAAUGAGGUUCAAUGGGGUGAGCGAAAAUUGAACCAGUGCAUUAGGUUGUCCCUUGCUGAUAUGGAGGGGAAUGAGUCACUCCUGAUCGCCGCUUCAUACUUUUGGUCAGACACACUCAAUGCUUUCGUGUUUGGCCAUGGCCCUGCUUCCCCUACACUUGCCGAUGUACUUAUGCUCACCGGCCUAGAUAUAUCCACUGCCGAUAACACCCACCUAUUCGACGCCAAUCCCAGUGCUAAGGUGGAAACUCGUGCUAUCGGCGGUUGGUCAGGGUACACUCAGAAGUACCGAAGAACAGGUCCUGUCAAUGCAAAGGAACAGACCACUUUUCUAAACAUGUGGCUGGAUAAAUUUGUAUUCUGUGGCCGAUCGGCAGGACCAACUUCUGUUUACAUAUCGGCAGCAGAAAGAUUAGCCAAUGGCGGUCGAUUUCCCCUUGGCCGAUGGCUCGGCUCAUCACCUCCUCCACCAAGUAGCCAGGAAACUUCUACUCGGCCAACCCAUCGGCAACUUAGGGGGUCCUUGGUGUUUUAUCAACAUGUGGCUUAAUUUCCACAUGCACAAGCGCCUUGAAUUCGACCUCUUUGCACAGCGCUUUCACAGGGACAUAGCCGAAGAUUAUGAACUAGAUGAGGAAGAAUCGGCAACUCGCUCUCCCUUGAACUUUGGCGAAGCAGCCAUAGUCUUACCUGGCACGGGUGGUAAUGAAGACUAGGUUAGCCGAUUUUUUCAGACUCUGUACGAGGGCCUGACUAGAGAAUAGCGAGCAUGGAUGCGUUAUGAAGAUCCAGACACCAGAUUCCCUUUGACAUUCCACCGCUUCAAUGAUGCUCUCAACAAGGAUCGUGACGUGAUGAUGUCAGUUAUCACCCCAAGAGCCAUACCAGUGAACUUCUUUGGUAGUGGGAAAGCCUCCAAUCUGACCUAUGAGUUUUAUAACCCAUCAGCACUAGCUCGCCAACUGGCUUCCGGCCAACUGCCGAUUGCACUUUGCUACGCCGAUGUGAUAAAACCAAGGGAGAUUUUCACCAGCAAUCUGGAAUGGAUCAGGGUAGCCCAACUUCCACCAAACGCCGAUAUAGACGUCGAUCUAUCGGCUUGGAUCCCAGCGCUCUUCAUCACUCAGGCAUACAAACAGUGGUGGGAAGAGUGGAAAGAACACCUGUUCUGCAGAUCGGCUCUCACGUACCGUGGCAUGAUCGACCCCAAGUACAAAGUCCCUGAUAACACUGUAAGUAUUUUAAUACCGAUGCUUCAAUUCCUUCACUUUCAUUUUCCAUCGGUAACUUACUUUCUUUGUCAUAUACAGGCCGAUGACACACCACCAUUGAUCAGCAGGAGUGGUAGGCCGAUUGAACUCCUUCCAUCGGGCCCGAUCUCUUUGAUCGGCAACAACGCUCCACCCUUGGCUACUAUAAUGCAUCGGGGUGUGCGCCUCAAGAAAGUUACUACCAAGCGGACGAAGACAUCCCCAUCGGUAGCUGCUACUGCCUUAGCACAAGCCUUCAAGGUAAAUUUUUGAAUUCUUUAACUCAUACCGAUACCAUUCUUAUACCUAUUACACUUGUACUCAUAAACUUCUCAUUGUUGUAUCAGCACACGGGUACAUCGGCAAAGACUAGAAGCACGACUGCCGAUGCCCCCCAGUCCAGUCAACCGAAGAGAAAAAGUUCCAAGAGCACCAGAUCACAAGCGAAGCGCCAGAGAACAGCAACGCCUCCUCCUCCCCCAAGGUCUUCGAUCCCAGUAGAAUCAUCCCCUUCUUCUCCAGAAGCCCAGACACAACAAGUACCAUCUUCUCCUCAGCCACAAGAAGAACCCCAAACAGAAGAACUCCAGCCAGAAGAACCUCAGCCAGAAGAAACAUCGGCUGAUGCACACGAGCAGACUGCCGAUCCAGCAAGCCUAAUCAUAGCAUCGGUGGUCUCCUCGAUUCAGACAAGUACUGCACCCCCUCAAGGUAACAUACUUUCCAUCUAUUGCCGAUGAACCUAUUUUUCACUUUAUUAAUCACUUCUGUCAACCUUUCAGCUGACGUAGUUUCAUCGGCGAUUCCAGCCGAUCAGCCUGUGGUUCCAUCAGCCUCAUCUAGUCAGAGGCGAGAAAUAGCCCUGAAACAAGUAAGUUACCCGAUCUCUAUUUUUAUUGUUAUCAGUACUUGAUCAUAAAAUAAAUUAUUUUGUCUUCCUUUUUAGGAACAGGACUCUCCCGACAGCUUGUUCUCCUUCGCCAUCGACAUCUCUGAGGAUGAAGGCGAGGAAGCAAGUUCUUCCUGAGCAGUUGGAAUCUCAUCGGCAGAGAUUAGAGCAAAGUUGGAAGAUUUGUCGGCCCUCCUUCAUCAAGAUACAGCUCAAUUGGUUGAUGACUCCGAUCCAGCUAAAGCCUUGUUCAAGGCUCUCAGAGGCCAAAUUCCUGCCGAUGCUGAGGAGAUCCUCUUCAAGGCUGCUCACUUGGAGAGUCAGCAGCUCCAGUAUCAAAAGGCUGCUCAACGCCUUGCCGAUAGAGCUACUCACGCCUAGCUCUCAGAAGAGAUGAUGAACACUCCUUGCCGAUGAAAAGCAUAGGAGCAUCGGCAUCUUAAAAUCCUCAGGGGGUGUGCUAAAGCAAAAGAUUUCUGAUCUAUCGGCAAGAAGGGAAGCCCUGUUGACAGAACUCAAACAAGUGGAAGAAGCUUUGUCCCAAGCUCAACAGAAAGAAAGCCAGCUGCCUGAGGCGAUCAAGAUUCUUGAACAAGAGCGAAACGUCCAAGCCCGCAAAGCACUGCAGAUGAAGAAGAAACUGAAGCCAGUGGAGGGCUCUGCCGAUGAUGACAUGAAGAUAGAAGAAGCCAAUUAGAUCCGUUUACGCGCCAUAUCAAUGAUCCAGGCUCUGUUAAACAUGUGAACUCUUCAUCGACGACAUAUUCUGCUCUUUUCUUUUAAACACUCCUGAUAUUCUGGUCUAGCUGAUAGGACUGUUAUCGGCACCUUUUAAAACAUUGAGUCUGGCCCCAGAUACACUUUGAUCCAGCCGAUAGGAAUGUUAUCGGCACUUAAACUUUUAUGCAUCAACCCAUAUGCUAGGACAAUAUUUCUUUAGAUAUUUGCCAUUCAAUACCCUGGGAAAAUCAACUCCAUCGAGAGUUUCUAAAAUAUAAGCAUUGCCAGGAGCAGCUCGAUUUAUCCGAUAAGGACCUUCCCAAUUAGGAGACCACUUCCCAAAUUUUGAACUUUUAGUCCCGAUCGGUAAGAUUAGUUUCCAUACUAAGUCUCCAUAGGCAAACUCCUUAGCCUUUACCUUCUUAUCAUACCAUCUGGCAACUCUCUUCUUAUUUUCUUCUAUACUUAUCAAAGCCCUUAGCCGAUGCCCUGCUAAAUCAUCCAACUCGUCUUUCAUCAAAGUAGCAUAGUUAUCGGCAGUCAAUUGAUUUUGAAAAGAUAGUCGCCUAGAUCCAGUCUUAACUUCCCAUGGUAGCACUACAUCAUGUCCAUAUACCAAUUGAUAAGGUGAAACUUUGGUCGACCCAUGACAAGCCAUCCGAUAUCACCAUAAAGCUUCAUUCAACAACGUAUGCCACCUCCUAGGAUUUUCUUCAAUCUUCCGUUUAAUAAGUUUGAUAAUUUCUUUGUUAGAUGCCUCGGCCUGCCCAUUAGCUUGAGCAUAAUAAGGAGAAGAAUUUAAUAGUUUAAUAAUUCCCAUACCGAUUGCAAACUCAUCAAACUCCCCUGAUGUAAACAUAGUACCCUGAUCGGUUGUAAUUGUUUGAGGAAUUCCAAAUCGGUAAAUAAUAUGCUCUUUCACAAAAUCAAUCAUAUUGGCCGAGGUGACUUUCUUCAAAGGAAUAGCUUCAACCCACUUGGUGAAAUAAUCGGUGGCAACCAAGAUGAAUUUAUGUCCUUUGCUUGAUGGUGGGUAAAUUUAGCCGAUUAAGUCAAUAGUCCAUCCCCGGAAUGGCCAAGGUUUAAUAAUUGGAUUCAUGGCCGAUGCGGAUGCCCUUUGAAUAUUGCCAAAUUUCUGACAUCAUUGACUCCCCUUGAAAUAUUUAAAGCAAUCUUAAAGUAUGGUUGGCCAAUAAUACCCAUUCCUCCUAAUCAUCCAUUUCAUCUUAAAAGCCGACUGAUGUGCCCCACAUACUCCUUCAUGGAUUUCUUCCAUUAAACCUUUAGCUUCAUCAUCACCUAAGCAUUUGAGAAGAAUUCCAUCAAUUGUUCGAUAAUAUAAUUCAUCCUCGAGGAGCACAUACUUGGUGGCUUGAAACUGAACAUGCCUUUCAACUUUCUUUGUCAGAUCCUUUAAAUAAUCAACGAUAUCUUUUCUCCAAUCAUCGGCAUUGAUUGCCGAUAACGUAUUCAAUAUGGGUUGAUAUCUCGAGGCAUGCUGAGCCAAUCGAUUAGCCUCCUCAUUAUGUAACCGAGGAAUAUGCUCUAAUCGGAAAUCUCUGAACUCCCUUAACAGUUGCAUACUCUUUUCGUAAUAAAUUAUUAGGACUUCACUUCGGCAUUCGUAGCUUCUAGCCAAUUGAUUUAUAACCAGCAUUGAAUCCCCGAAGAUUUCAACAGCAUCAGCAUGGACUUCCUUUAAUAAUUCCAACCCCUUGAUUAAAGCUUAAUACUCAGCUUGAUUAUUUAUUGACGUGGCAACAAUCGGCAAAGAGAACUCAUACUUCCUUCCUCGAGGGGAAAUUAACACUAUGCCGAUCCCUGCCCCCCGGUGACACGUGGAUCCAUCAAAGAAGAGCGUCCAAGGUACAAUUUCCAAAGUUUCCACUGCACUGCAAUGUUGAGUUACAAAAUCAGCCAUAAUCUGUCCUUUAACAGCUUUAGCCGAUUCGUAACGCAGAUCGAAUUCCGACAGUGCCAAAAUCCACUUACCGAUCCUGCCACUCAUGAUCGGCAUAGAUAGCAUAUACCGGACCACAUCAUCUUUGCAUACAACAGUGCAUUCGGCCGAUAGUAAAUAGUGCCUCAACUUAACGCAGGAAAAAUAUAGGCAUAAAUAUAAUUUUUCAAUAGCCGAAUACCUAGUCUCAGCAUCAACCAAUCUCCUACUUAAAUAAUAAAUUACACGCUCCUUCCCUUCAAUUCUUGAAUUAAAGCCGAACCGAUGACCAUCCCAUCGGUAGAUGAAUAUAAUCUGAAGGGCUUUCCUUGAUGAGAUCGAAUCAGAACUGGAGGGUUUAUCAAAUAAUUCUUGAUUUCAUCUAAAGCCAACUGUUGCUCUUUCCCCAUAUGAACUCUUGAUCAGCUUUCAAUUUAAGUAAAGGACUGAAAGCACGAAUUUUACCAAACAAAUUAGAUAUAAACCUCCUGAUAGAAUUUACCUUGCCGAUCAAGGACUGGAGCUCAGUUUUGUUGGUAGGAGCAACUAUUUUGUUGAUAGCAUCAAUGGAUCUCCUACUAAUUUCAAUUCCCCUUUGAUGCACCAUGAAACCAAGGAAUUGUCCUGCCGAUACACCAAAUGCACACUUGCUAGGAUUCAUCUUUAAACCAUGCUUUCUUGUGCAUUCCAACACCUUUCGCAAAUCGGCAAGAUGCGUUGUGAAAUCUCCAGACUUAACCACCACAUCAUCAAUAUAAAUUUCCACUAGUUUGCCGAUGAACUCAUGAAAGAUAAAAUUCAUAGCCCUCUGAUAAGUAGCACCAGCAUUUUUCCAACCAAAGGUCAUGACUAUCCAUUCGAACAACCCAACAUGACCAGGACAUCUAAAUGCAGUCUUUGGAAUAUCUUCUUCAGCCAUGAAUAUUUGAUUGUAUCCUGCAUUGCCAUCCAUAAAGCUGAUGAUCCGAUGCCCAGCCGUAGCAUCAACUAGCAGAUCGACAACCGGCAUUGGGUAACCAUCCAUCAGUGUAGCUUUAUUAAGAUUCCUGAAAUCAAUGCAAACCCGAAGCUUUCCAUUUUUCUUGUAAACUGGAACAACAUUGGAAAUCCAUUCGGCAUACCGACACUGCCGAAUAAAUUUAGCUUCGAUAAGUUUGGUUAUUUCGGCCUUAAUAUCAGGAAGAAUAUUAGGAUUACAUCGACGAGCUGGCUGUUGAUGUGGCCGAAAUCCAGACUUGAUGGGUAACCGAUGUUCAACAAUCGACCGGUCUAAACCAGGCAUCUCAGUAUAAUCCCAAGCAAAGCAAUCUUUAUAUUCCUUUAACAAAUCGGUUAAAUACUACCUACACUCAGAAUUUAACUUAGCACUAAUAAAAGUAGGCCUAGGCUUAUCACCAUUACCUAUAUCUACCUCUACCAAGUCAUCGGCCGAUGUGAAUCCCUGGCCUAGUUUUCCACCAUCGGCAAAUCUAUCCAUUAAAAUUCCUCAUCAGAACUGACUGCUUGGAUCGGUGGAAUUUCAUAAUCGGCAAUUUUGAGGAAAUCCUUCUCCCAAAUUUCUCCCGAGAUACACCUGGUCCUCUCAUAGGUAUCUACCUCUGCCGAUGCAAUGACAUAGGAAGAAUCUCCUGGGACAAUCUCAAUCUUGUCACCUACCCACUGAACCAAACACUGGUGCAUUGCAGAUGGGAUGCAACAAUUGGCAUGAAUCCAAUCUCUCCCUAGCAGCAAAUUAUAAGCACCUUUUCCACUGAUCACAAAGAAGGUGUCGGCAAGGUUUUGCUGCCGAUGGUCAACUCGACGCAGAUUGCCCCCUUAACCGGAGACACAUUUCUUUCAAAGUCUUUUAGCAUCAUAUCGGUCUUAGUCAAAUCUUGAUCUCCUUUUCCAAGUUCCGAUAGACUGUAUACGGCAUGAUGUUGAUAGCAGCCCCACCAUCAAUCAACUCUUCCUUUGACAAACAGAGCUUUAAGAUGCUGCCUUUCAUCGUCGGCAGGCUUUUCAAAGAUAGCUGUCAUCGGAUCCAGAGCCAACUGAGCUAUCUGGUCAGAAAACUCCAACUCCUCAUCAUCACUGGAUGGUGCAAGGAACUCUAUCGGCAACAUAAAUACCAUGUUGACAUCUGCCGAUGGCCCUUUCCCCUUAGGAUCCGGCUGUUGCUGAUCCCCGGACUGGCCAAAGUUCUCACCCUUACUUAGCUCUUCUCGUCUUUCGCGCUGCAGUCUCCUUUUCUACGUCUUAGUCAACCCCUCUAGACACCAUGGGGGAAGUGGUGACUGCCUUGCCGAUGGACGACGAUGUUCCCUUGACUCCAUCCGAUGAGUAUUAGCGUCCCUACAAAAUAUGAACUCAUCGGGAACUCGUGCAUUAGCCAUCUCUUCAAGCUCUUCCUGGUUCCUAGGAAAAUAUUCCACACAAUCACCAAGCCCAUCGUGUACACUGAGUUUGCCCCUAAGCCGUUCAUGAACUGACACUCUCCCCCUAAUUGGCCCACUAAAUCGCCGAUCAUCAUCGUGAUAGCGCCGAUUGGAUCGGUCAUACCGAUCAUAACCAUUGCAUUCAGGGCAAUCUCUAACUGUGGGCAACUUGAUGUUCUGCUCCCAGCAAUGGAUAAAGAAUGGGCAGUUCGAGUGAUCUCUGUGCCGAUUCCACUCCUGUCAGCGUCUUUCUUCUUCCCGAUGAUAGUCUUCUUGCUGGCGCCGAUACGAUCCUCUCGUUGCUGCCAAGUCUCCCGAGGCAUUCUAUGAGUUAUCACAAUACCAAAUCGAGGAGGCCUUCCCGAGUUAGUUCCCUCUUGGAUCAAACCUUUUCCUUUGGCAUCGGCGGCAGUAAUUUGAUGCUGAGGAUCUACCGAUGCACUUCUUUCAGCCGCUUCCGACGUCAAGACCUCGGUCUUUCCCUUAGCAUCCAACAUAUUUGUUGGGAAAGCAUGUUGAUCGAUCUUCAUCGGCUUAUGAGUUUUGGCACUAUCAAAUUUGAUUCUCCCAGAUUCAAUAGCCGAUUUGUAGUUGUUGCCUAAAAACCAUGCACUCAUUGGUGCUGUGAGAAGUCGCGUUGAGCCACUUGCAAUAUUUCAUCUUCUUUAAUUCUUCAGCCGAUGGAAUAACAUGAUUAGGCGAUAAUUUGAUUUGCCCUUCCUGAAGUAGAAAGUCAAAUAUCCUAUCGGCUUUAGUAAUGUCAAACGCAAACUUCUCUAGCUCCUUAUGCCCAAAAGGGCAAGACAUCGGCUUUUUGUUCUUCACCCAUUCAGCUAAGCCGAUGACUGGCUCUUCAUCAGAAUCUGAGCUUGCUGCCUCAUCAACAAAUGACACUUUUUUGUUCCAUGCUCUCUUGGGUUCAAAGGGUUUAAUAUCUUGGUCGGAAAUCCUCUGCACCAAGUGACUCAGACUUUCGAACUCUUGAGAAGCGUACUUGUCUCUGAUAUGUGGCAACAAACCCUAAAAAGCCAAAUCGGCUACCUGCCGAUCGUCCAGAACCAGACUAUAGCACUUGUUCUUAACUUCUCACAACCUCUGCACAAAGCUUUCAACCGAUUCAUCAUUGUGUUGUUUCAGUCUAACCAAAUCGGUGAUCUUCUUUUCAUGGACUCCAGAAAAGAAGUACUUGUGGAAUUGCUUCUCCAGAUCGGCCCAAGUAAUCACUGAGUUAUGACGCAGCGAUAUAAACCAAGUAAACGCCAAUCCAGACAACGAUGACGAGAACAACCGAACCCUUAACUCGUCUCUGUUCGCAGCUUCCCCACAUUGAAUGAUGAACCUAUUGACAUGUGUUGACACUAGCUAACACCACUUAGAUACUAGGUUGUCAUCCCUAGCAUGGCGCCAGAGUGUACAAAGGUAUUUAUAAAUGUAAAGGCUCUCUAGAAAAUAAUCUAUUCUAUCCGCAAGCGCACAGAUAAAACACCUCAUUGUAGCAUUUCACCAGGAUAAGUAUUCCAGGUAUCAUUAUUUAUAAUUUUGCUCAAGGGAUCUCAAGAAGAUGGAAUUAAAUCAAAGGGCAAAAUCUAUCAAGGCAUAGACUAGAGAUAAACUUGCAAUAACAUGAUUACUAAUGAGAAACUCGUCACACAGUCACAUACUUUAGCAGGGGGUAAACCAUAAAGAUAAUGAUAAUAAAGUAUAAGUUCAUGGGUAGAUAACACAGCGAUUAGAAAAUAGACUACUCCUCAUAUAUGUAGGUGAUGUCGGAUUAGCUAGAGAAUGGAUUCUAAGUUAUCUACUAACUACUAAGUCAUAAUCUAAUCUAGUUAUCUACAAGAUCAUAUAUAGCAUAAAAGACUCUUCAUUCAUGUAUAAGGAACAUUGAUAAAGUAAAUCAGGGCAUCGCAUGACUUACUCCACAAUACCGGUUCUGCCUAUCCUAUCAACGGAGGGUGGACUAUAUAAGAAUCAACGAAGCUGUCACUAUCGCGAACUACCACAUGACUGAGCCAAUAGGAUACAUUUGCAGAUAAAUAACAUCUAAGCACCACGCUCACAUGUGAUCUAUCACCUAACUCCCUCGCGUCAAGAGCUAAGCGCUUUGCAAACUUAUACAUAAACUCAUUAUCAAUUAGAACUAUAUCAAAUAUAGAACUAGAGCAAACUAAGAGCAUAAUAAUUAGAGACAUAAUGCAAUUAGAACAAUAGAAUUAGAGAAAGAUAUGAAUAAUACCAAUCUUUAUUACCGAAGAUCCGAAUCCAGAGCGUAGUGCUCUACUUCUCUAAUUGCUAUCUAAUCAAACCUCUAAACUUGAAGGAUUAGGGAGUAGCUAAUUCUAAUUCUCUCUGGGAGAGAGAUCUAAACCCUAACUUUGAUGGCUACCUCUGAAUAAUGAUUUCUCCUCCCUCCUCCAGGAGCCAGGGGGUCUGGUUUUAUAGUCCCCUCAAGUGAACAUGAGCCAUUGGAUCAAACCGACAUAGAUUGUAUGGUUUAGAUUGAUCCUUUAGGUCGGUGGAGCGUUGUCCCGAAGCAGAGUCCUGUUUGGCCUCCAACCCUGGGCGGGCGCCCAGCCCCCGAGCCCGAAUCGCCUCUCGUUCAUUCCCGUGGCUUCUGGAUCCUUCUAGAUGGAGGAAAAUUGCGCGGCACGUAAUUAUCUCGUUGUAAACAUGACAUGUGGGCCUUCUCUCCAUAUUUUCUGAUAAACCCCUGCAGAAAUAGAUAAACACCAAAGCUCGUGGAAUUCUGUCAGAUAAAACCCUAAUUCUAAAUGUUUGUUUCAUAUUGAUCCUUUUUCCUGUUUAUUUGAUUAUUAAUUUUAGUACUUAAGGACCGUCAACAACAUGCUCCAUGGUCGAUGUAUCAUCCUGCCCAGAAAACUUGGUGAAAUCUGGUACCUUGUACCGAUUUGGAAGUGUAAUUAAAUCAUAAGCAAGAGGAUACAAUGUCCGAUAAGAGUAAGUGUUGACUUUGGGUUUUAUCCCUAAUUUGUCGCUCAUCACUUCGGCUAUCUUAUCAGCCCAAUAAGUAUCGGCGUCUUGCCGAUGGGGUGGUUGUGGAUCCAGCGCUUGCUGAUAUACUUCCAUGUGUCGCUGAGGCGCACGAUCUGCAUGGAACAUGGGGUUGAUCGUCUGACCACCAAACUGUUGACCAAGAUUCAUCGGUUGGUUGGCUAACCCUUGAUUCUAGAAUCCAGGCUAGACCUGGCCUUGUUGGAACCCUGGAGCCUGAUGGUUUUGUUGAGGCAUCUGUGGAAAACCUAACUGCCCCGUCCAUCCACUGUUAGCAUUCAUCGGCAUGAACCCUGCCGAUGGCUGAAGAUUGGGCAUCAUCAUUGGAUUGACAUACCCUGACUGUGUCAUAAACCUCUGUUGCGUCGACAUUGAAUCUACCGAUGCAUUAGGCAUCUAGAACGUUGGAGCUUGAGAAUUCCCAGUGUAAGGUCUUGCAGUAGUAGUUGUAGUAUACUGGGGACUCUGAUUCAUCGGCAAAUUUGGAGGUGCCGAUGCCAUAGGAGCCUUGCCCCUCAUGUCAACUGUUUGAGAUGUGCCAGGUGUCUUCAACAUCAUCUCUGGGGCAUACCAUAACCCCACCAGUUGGGAGGAACAGAUCCCGACAUUGCCGAUGCUAAUAGAUCUGUGGCAAGCUUGAUUUGCUCAUCUGAAGUUGAUGGAUUGGUCAUCAUCGGCGUAGAUUGCACAUUAGCGAGCCCUAGAGGGGAAGUAACCUCUACACCCGCAGCGGCUAUUGUAGCUGGUGGAGCUGUAACCAUUGGUGAUCCCGGCUGAUGAUAGACAGGGACCACAUAAUUUGGUGGCAAUUGUCCUUCUUUGAAAGUUCUAGCCGUGGCAUUGAAAACCGUAUUGGACAGCACACCAGCUCGAUUGAUCAAGGCCGGCAGUGCUUCUUUCUAGAUUACUUCACCGUUCCUGUUGAUACUAAAGGAUUUCAAACAUUGCUGCUUGUAAUCCUCCAUGGAUUUUGCAAUAGCUUGCUUCUGCUCAUCUCCGAGAUUGGCUUCCGUGACGGGGAUGACGUUCUCCAAGUCGAAAUCGGUGUUCGACAUGUUGACCUUGAUCUUGAAUCUUGUCCCACUGGGCGUGCCAAAAGAUGUGUUGGUGCAAAAGCUGAUCUGCAAACACAAAGGGCUAAUACCCGUUUCAAAUGUUAAGGCGUGCCAGCCGAUUUGACCUUACUAUCGGCAAAGGUGAUAACUCGAAUACUUUGGUCCCGACAACAGCGAUGCGCCCGGAUGUCACGGGCAAGAGGUAUUCAUGCGAAACUCGAGAAUAUGCCGAGCUUAAGUCGACGAAUUCCUAUGAACACGUAAUAAAAAGGAAAAUAUGACGAAGUCAUCGAAAAAGUAGGUACUGGAAUAUGAGUAAAAACUUGUGUUUGAUUGAUUGAUAGAUUGUCCAUUACAAGGCCCUAGGUUCUACAUUUAUACCCUGCUCAAAGAGCUACAAUCAGACACGACUAGGACUCGAAUUCCAAACUAAACAGAAUCCAUAUACAAAACGAAUUUAAAUAAUUAACGAAAACAUAAAACUAUCCCCUUGUAACCGACCAGGACACUGCCACAGAUCAAUCGGCAAUCUCCAUGCUUUCCUUCGGAACCAUCGGUAGAAUUCCUGUUAUGGCCAUCGGCAAACACCAAUAUUGAUCAUCAGCACAAACACGUCACCACCUCUGGACUCAGUCACAUUCAAUUGUCUCUUCAUCGGCAAUCACCCCAUCGGCAACUUCCCUGCAGACUAGUUACCGUUGCUCCGUCUGCCGAUCCGAUCCUCAGGUACGUGUCUAAAGACGGUGUCAACAGCGUCCCUCCUCCACCAGCUGCUGCCUGAGAGAGGUGAUGGUGUAUCGCUUGGGUCCUAUGCGUCGGAGGCUGCUGUUGGGUAUUCUUAACAUCAUUACCAAAAGUAGACUAAGUUCUCUAAAUCUAGUAACGGUGCCAAAAAUGCCAAACCUAUCCCUCAUACCACUUAAGCCAAGUUGUCAUCCCCAGCAUCACAUGAGAGACGCGGUAUUGAAAUAUGCAAUUGCUCUUCUAAAUAAAUAAUGAAUGAGAUCUGCAAGCGCACAGAUUAAUACCGAUGUAGCAUUUUAACCGGGAAGUAUUCCAGGUAUUGUUAUUUAUAUUUUUACCACUGGGAAGGGAUUAACAAUCAUCAAUAUUGAUUACAGAAUAGAAUAUGAGAUUGAGUAUCUAUCAUUGCAUGUAUAAUUGAGAACAUUUAUCUAACUCUUUCAUACAGGGAUAAGUGUCACAUAAAAGAUAUAUGAAGUAAUGAAUAGUGACAAAGAUAAUUAAUCUGAUCUAGCCACAUAAUAAAUAUGAUAAGCACCUCAAUUAGAUACUCUAGAAAGUCAUUAGCAUGGUAUUAGAACGAACUACAAGAAUAUUUCCUAAGUUAUUCUCAAUUAUAUAGUCUAGCAUUAUCAUAGUUAGUGCAAGCAUACUUAGCAAUCAUUGCGAGACAAUACUACACCCAUGCAUAGUGAUAUUAGCAAGGUAAAUGAGAAACAUAGCAAUCACUCCCCUGUAAUAAUAUUGCUCUGCCAGCCCAAUACACGAGAGGGGGACUAUAUAAGAAUCAAUGAAGCUGUCACUAUCACGAAUUACCCCACGAUCUGGCAUAUUCGGUACAGUCGCAGAUAAAUAUGGUAUAAGCACCACGCCUACACAAUAUCUAUCAUUUACCCAUGGAUCAAAUGGAUAAACGCUAUACGAUCCUAAGCAUGAAUAUAGAUCCAAUCUAACUAAGCCAAGUAUAUAACUAUGAUAAACUAAGAACAAUAUAAUCUUGAAUAUAAACAAGAGCAAAGUCAUAAGCAAUAUAUUGAAGUAGAACAAAGUCAUAUUCAUAAUAUUGAAGAACAAAGAUAAUUAGAAGAAGAAUUAGAAGCACAAUUAGAGAAUUACCAAGAAUCCUCUUGACAGAUCCGGAAACCAAUCGAAGAUUGACUUGUAGCUAUGCUAAUAUAGAUGUCUAAUUGAUGUGGUGGCUCUAAUCUUGAUCAGAGGCUUCUUCUCCCUUGAAGAACAAUGAAUUAGGGUUGAGAGGCUCUCUCCUCCAGGGGCUAGGGGGUCUGGUUUUAUAGUCCCUUCAAGUGAAUAUGGGCCGUUGGAUCAAACCGACAUUGAUUGAACGGUUAUCCUUGAUCCUUUAGGUCGGUGGAGAUCUCCCGAGAAAGAGAGUCCUGAUUGGACUCAGAGAAGGGGCGGGCGCCCAGGGCAGGAGGGCGGGCGCCCUGCCUCUAGCCCCGUUCGGCCUCCGCUUUCUUCACGUGGCUUCUGGAGUCUUCUAGAUGCAAGAUAAUUGCGUGGCAUGUUAAUAUCUCUACAUAAUCCCGACGUGUGGGCCUUUCUUCCUUAUUUCCUGAUAACCUCCUGCAGAAAUAGACAAACACCAAAACUCAUGGGAUUCUGUCAGAUAAAACCCUAAGUCUAGAUGUUGAUUUCAUUUGGAUCAUUUUCUUUGUUUAUUUGAUAAAUAAAUUUAAUACUUAAGGACCGUCAACAAACUCCCCCAAGCUUAGCUCUUGCUCGUCCCUGAGCAAGGAUAGACUCAGCAAUGGAUCAGAAGUUGUUGCAAUAUCUUAAAAAUUGACGGUACACAUGCUUUUUAAAUAAGAUCUCAUCUCUGAGUUAGAGUAAACUAUCAAGACUUAAAACUUACUUACUUUACCUUUCACCAUGGGACUUGUAACCAUCACUUCGGCCUUGAGUAGUUAAAAGAUAGAACAGUCUAGUCAAGUGCCAUGUCUCUUAUUCUUGAUCAGCUAUAGCUCUGGUGUUUUCUUUACAGAUUUUCAAAUAAAACUCAGAGAUUCCUUGUAUGACUUCUCUCAUAUCUCUCUUUUGUGGUAUUUCUGGAUCCUUUCCAAGGCAGUGAUGGUAUAUGCCUUCUCUCAAAAUAUGUAGUAUUUGUGGUAUAAAGCAUAGUGACAUUGCCUUCUCUCUCACAGGUGGGAGAUAAAAUAUACAUAGGUGGGAGAUAAAAUAUACAUACUUACAAUACAUUUAUUGCAUAGUCAAACCAUGGAUCCAAAGAAACAAAUCAAUAAGUCAAAUCAAGAUGUGCAUGUGUGGCGAAUGAAUGGUGUAUGGUGAUGAUGGUGAUAACAAUGGUGGAAGUCUAAUUCUACAUUUGCUCUUUUGAGGGGAUACAUACCUUUCUUGCUUUUUGAAAUUUUAUGAGGAGGAUGAGAUACUCUUCUUUUUCUUUUCUCUCAGGUGGGUAUCUUGUACCCCUAAUUCUACUGUCGGACACUUGUUCAUUUUUACCUCUCGUCUCACUUUUUCUUUUCUUUCGAGGUUCCGGGCACUUGCCCCUUUUUAUUUCCUCGUAUCUUUUUUUCUCUUUUUUUUUUCCUUUUUUUCUUUUUUUUAAUUAGAGCACUCGUCUCUUGAGAUAAUAUAACAAGUGGUAGUAACAAGAUAACUUGAGCAUUUAUUUCACAAGGGAAAACAGAAAUAUUUUUGGUUAUUCUCUCCCGGAUUAGGAGUAGAAUAUUUUUUGGUGAUUCUGGAGAUGGAAAUGGAUGGAUAUAUGUGGAUGGUACUUCCGGAGUAGAAGUAGCAUAUAUGAGUGAACGUGCAAGUGAAUCUUGACUUAACCACAUGACAAGCUCCUAAGGGUCUACACAGCUUGACCACACUCAAUGCUCAUAAGCAGUAAAUAGUAAAUGUGUGGCUCAAAGUCUAGCAAGCAUGUAUAUAUGGCUGUGGUAGGAAUUUAAACUCUCAUCAUACAGGAACUCAUCAUGCAACAUUUUAAAGAUUUUUCGAAGAUAAAAUUCUCCAGAAUUCUAGUAUCUCUAGGAAUAGAUAAACAGCAGCUCAACCUUUCCAUAUCGUAUCCGUUAACAACUUAGACUUCAGAUCAAGUUUUCAUCCCACAAGUUUAGGUCUAGAGUACACUUUAAAUUAUAACAGUUAUGUCUAAACUUGAGAGAGAACUUAAAAUGUGCAAAUUAGGCAGAGCAACUAUUCAUCAUAUCCAUGCUAGAGUAGUAUUUAGAUACAGAUUAGCAUAGCCACUUUAUUUAUUUAGUAAACACAGUAAGCAAAAGAUAUAUAUAAGCACAAGAUCUUUAUUUGGUUUUCUAUAGUUAUGUAUAACUAUAUUUUAAUAUAAUAUAAGUAUAAAGAUAGAUAGAAAUACUUAGCGGGAUAAAUGGGGGUGCUCUCCCCCAAGCUGAAUUUUGACGUAAUUUCUCUUGAUGUAGCUAGCAGGUGGCAGAGGUGUAUUUGAAAGUCAGCAGCAUUCUGACAGCGAUUAGAAUGUCCUCCAUCUGCUAGUCUUCUUGAUUCUUAAAUUCUAUGGAGCUCAAAUAGACAACAAAGCUUGUGGAACUGAUUAAGUGUUAGCAUAAAUAUCUAGCUUUUAUCAUGUUGAGACUCCUCAAUAAUUAUUACUCUCUAUUUUUUUAUAUUUUUGUUUUAUAAAGCAAAAAAAUAUUUACUUUAUUUUUAUGCCACCAUAGUGAAUGUACUUAUGGGUUUCAUGCCACUCGUAUACUCACAUAGGGCUUACUGUUUUUCACAUUUUUAUUUUCUUUUUAGGAUUGUAUGAACAUGAUUAACUAAGCAAACUAUUUUAAAUAUUUGGAAGAAAAAAGGAUAACUACCAAGUUUACCUCUUGGCAAGGAGUUCGGUGUUUUUAAGUCCUCCGAACAGGAUUCUCCAUUUUCUCAAUUGUCCUAGAAUUUGUUGGUUGGCGGAGUCGGUACUUCCGGCGGCGCCUCCUCUUCAUGUAUAGUUAUCUUCUCUUUCCAUACCUGACUCGGAGCUUCGGUCUCCUCUGGAUAAUUCUGUUUAAACUCUACGUCUUCUUACCUUAUCACUUCUCCUUCGUAGUCUGCCCAUCCGUCCUUGAUGAUCUGCAUCCUCUGGUUGCGGUUGCGUCGCUUUCUUACCUGCUUAGAUUCUUCAAAGAUGUAGUUAGGAUUAGUAAAAUAACGGCGUACCUUCUCUGAGGGGAAGUGAAUAUGGACUUCUCCAGUUCCAAUGUAGAUAAUUGCUUUAACGGUGCUGAGGAACGGUCUUCCAAGGAUGAUGGGUGGAUCGUACUCAUCUUCUCCCAUGUCAAUAACCUGAAAGUCUGUGUAGACAAAAUGAUCAUCUAUUUUGACUGGGACAUCAGUUACUAUUCCUUUAACUUCUCGAAACGUCUGAUCUGCCAUCUGGAGGUGAAUGUAUGUUGGUUUCAGAGGCACGGUUCCGAACAAGAGCCGAUAGGUGACUGCGGCCAUUAUGUUGACGCCCGAUCCGGUGUCACAAGUCGUCUUGUAGAAGUUGUAUCCAUUUAUGGAGCAGUAAAUGCUUGGCAUUCCUGGGUCGCCCUUCUUGGUCAAAAACGGUGACUUAAGUUGGUGAUCUUGUCCUCCAUGAACUGCAGUGACCAUCUUAGCUGACUCGGUCCACACUUGCUUGUUCCUGUUCCUCCUGUUGGUCCUUUUCCUUGAUUAACGUCUGGAUUGCUCUGGGAUUUGUGUAGUCUUGUUCCUGAAGAAAAAUGUCUCCUUCCUCCCUUUGAUGUAGAAACUGAUCUUGGCAGCUCUAGCGUAGAUGAUAGCUCCCGAGGUGUUUAAGAAUGGCCUCCCUAAGAUGAUGGGUGCCCUCUCAUCAUUACUGUUGAUAUUUGGUAACGCAAUAAGGAAAUGAUCCGCAAGCGCACGGAUAUCGAUGAGCAUUUCACCCGGGAGAUUUUCCAGAGUAUCGUAUUUAUAUUUUUACCACUGGGAUAAAGGGUGCAUCUGACUAACCAAAUCUAUUGCUACUACCCCUUUAGGCUACAAAGAAUGUCUCUCGAUGUGAGUGAUGUAUAGAGAAGACUGCAACCUUAGUCUCGUUCUAACCUUGGUAAGGAUGAUCUACUGUUCUAUUGGGGAGGCUCACGGAAUCUAGACAACACAAAGGAUGUUCGACCCGCACCUAUAACCCUACCUGUCCUACUAACGAGAUGUGAUCUACAAAGGUAACUCGGAAAUGUCACGUUCCUCGCUACUACCACGGUCCAGCUAGUCAGGGGAUAUCUAUGAGUACCCUAGCCUAAACACCACGUUUACGCUAACAAGUGAUUACUCAAAUACUCAACCGGAAGAGGAUUAAAGUAAACUCAUAAACCAAAGAACAAUAAAACAAGAACUUACUAGUAUUAGAAGUCGAAUUACUGAAGAAUCUUAGAAGCAAGCCUCGGGUUAGGAGACUUGAUCCCACAGGUACAACUCGGAGUAGACACCGACAGGCCGGCCUUCCUCCGAUCCACACCUCCACUCUAUCUCUCUCAAUCUAGUAGAAACUAGAAGAUCUAUUUCUACUUUACAUUGGAUGCUAAGCCUAAAAAGAAAUAUUAUUUAGAGAAGAGGUUUUCCUUCGAGGGCACCCCUCAAUCUCUAUGAUAAUUUCUUGUCUUCUCCAGGGGCCAGAGGGGGUCUCCUUUAUAUAGUCCUCCCCUUCUAUGCGUUUUUGGGUCGAUAGGCGAGGUGGUACUAUGUUAUUCUGGAUCCAAUAGGUCGGUGGAACGUCGUGUGCGAAGAGAGUCCGGAACGGAGUCCAGAGGGGGGCGGGCGCCCAGGUCCUCAGGGCGGGCGCCCUGGGCCUGGCCCCUUUCGGGCUCCGCUUCCUUCCCGUGGCUUCUGGAGUCUUCUAGAUGGUAGAAAAUUGCGCGGUGGGUUGAUAUCUCUAUGUAAUCCCGACAUGUGGGCCUUUCUUCCUUAUUUCCGGAUAACCCCCUGCAGAAAUAGACAAACACCAAAACUCGUGGAAUUCUGUCAGAUAAAACCCUAAGUCUAGAUGUUGAUUUCAUUUGGAUCCUUUUCUUUGUUUAUUUGAUAAUUAAAUUUGAUACUUAAGGACCGUCAACAAACUCCCCCAAGCUUACCUCUUGCUCGUCCCUGAGCAAGGAUGAACUCAAGAGUUUCUGUUGUGGUUUCAUUUCUUAGAAGUACACACGCAUUUAAGCAAGAUCUCAUCUCUGAGUUAGAAUAAACUGUUAACACUUAAAACUUACUUACUUUACCUACACCAUAGGACUUGUAACCGUCACUUCUGUCUUGAGUGGUUAAAAGAUAGAACAGUCUAGCCAAGUGUCAUAUCUCUUAUUCUUGAUCAGCUAUAGCUCUGGGGUUUUUGCAGAUUUUCAAAUAAAACUCAGAAAUUCCUUGUAUGAUUCUCUCAGGUCUCUCUUUUGUGGUAUUUUUGGAUCCUUACCAAGGCAGUGAUGGUAUAUGCCUUCUCUCAAGAUAUGUAGUAUUUGUGGUAUGAAGCAUAGUGACAUUGUCUUCUCUCUCACCCUACUCUAAUAAGGCUUUAAUAUCUGGAGCUCAUAGGUGGGAGAUAAAGUAUACAUACUUACAAGACAUUUAUUGCAUAGUCAAACCAUGGAUCCAGAGAAACAAGUCAAUAAGUCAAAUCAAGAUGUGCAUGUGUGGCGAAUGUAUGGUGUAUGGUGAUGAUGGUGAUAACAAUGGUGAAAGUCUAAUUCUACUUUUGCUCUUUUAAGGGGAUACAUACCUUUCUUGCACUAAGAAGUUUUUUGGGGAGAAUGAGAUGCUCUAUAUUUUCUUUUUCUUACCUCUCAGGUGGGUAUCUUGUACCCCUAAUUCUACUAUCGGACACUUGUCCAUUUUUACCUCUCGUCUCACUUUUUCUUUUCUUCGAGGUUCCGGGCACUUGCCCCUUUUUAUUUCCUCGUAUAUUAUUUAUUUAUUUUUUUCUUCUUUUUUUUCUCUUUUUUUUUCUUUCUAGAGCACUCAUCUCCUGAAAUAAUGUACCAAGUGGUAGUAACAAAAAUAACUGGAGCAUUUAUUUCACAGGGAAUAACAGGGAUAGGAAAAUGUUUUUGGCUAUUCUCUCCCGGAUUAGGAGUAGAAUAAUUUUGGGUAAAACUGGAGAUAGAAAUGAGUGGAUAUAUGUGGAUGGUACUUCCGGAGUAGAAGUAGCAUGUAUGAGUAAUCGUGCAAGUGAAUCUUGAUUUUAACCACAUGACAAGCUCCUAAGGGUCUACACAGCUUGACCACACUCAAUGCUCAUAAGCAGUAAAUAGUAAAUGUGUGGCUCAAGGUCUAGCAUGCAUGUAUAUAUGGCUGUGGUAGGAAUUUAAACUCUCAUCAUACAUGAACUCAUCAUGCAACAUUUUAAAGAUUUUCAAAGAUAAAAUUCUCCAGAAUUCUAGCAUCUCUAGGAACAGAUAAAAAGCAGCUCAACCUUCCCAUAUCGUAUCCGUUAACAACUUAGACUUCAGCUCAAGUUUUCAUCCCACAAGUUUAGGUCUAGAGCAAGCCUUAAAUUAUAACAGUUAUAUCUAAACUUGAGAGAGAACUUCAAAUUUGCAAAUUAGGGAGAGCAACUAUUCAUCAUAUCCAUGCUUAAGUUUUAUUAGAUACAGAUUAGCAUAGCCACUUUAUUUAUUUAUUAAACAUACUAAGCAAAAUAUAUAUAAGCAUAAAAUCUUUAUUUGGUUUUUCAUAGUUAUGUGUAUUUAUUUUCUAAUAUAGUAUAAGUAUAAAGAUAGAUAGAAAUACUUAUCGAGAUAAAUGGGGGUGCUCUCCCCCAAGCUGAAUUUUGACGUAAUUUCUCUUGAUGUAGCUAGCAGGUGGCAGAGGUGUGUGUUGGGUAUUUUAAACGCAAACAGAAAAAUCCGCAAGCGCACGGAUACCGAUGUAGCUUUCACCCGGGAGUAUUCCAGAGUAUCGAUUUUCCACAGAGAACGUGAGUGUACUAAUUAAGAUCCAAGAUCGCCCAAGGAUAACUAUAUAAUUAUUUUUGGUGGGAAGAGAGGAAGUUUCGUGAGAGUUCUCUAGUUGAUCUAAGAAUCAAGAAUUACUUCAAGAUUAUCUAUAUCGGGACAUCAGAGCACUAACCACAGAAAGAGAUGAGAAGGGGGCUAGGAAGGUCUGACUACGGUCCUACAAACACCGAUCCGAACGUGGUGGAAUACGUCGACCGUUAGGACUGUCACUACCCUAGGGCUACCACAACAAUCCGUAGGAUUGGGUGCAAUUCCAGGUAAUCGCAAGACUAAACACCACGUCUAAUCUAUUAAUUACUACUCUAGCAUUAUAAAGACUAGAGCACUUGAUGCAAGCGGGAAUCCAAUAAAUAACUUGAAUGUAAAUAAAAGUAAUUAAAGGACUCAGGAAUUAUGAGUUGAAGAACCUGGAGAACGAUGAAGAACGAACCAGAUGCUGCAAAAGUAUAAUGUUGAGGAAGAUCCGACAGAUCCGGCUCCUCCUCCGCUCUCCUCUUCUCUCUCCCUAUUUUCUAGAUUACAACUAGAACUAACUAGAACUAGAACUAGAAGAACUAGAACUAGAACUAGAUCUAGAUGAACUAGAGGUAGAACUAGAAGAACUAGAGGGAUCCUCUCUACUUGGAUGAAGAAAUUGAAACCCUAACUUUGAUUCUGUAGAAGAGGUAUGAUCUCCAGGGGCCAGGGGGUCUGGUUUUAUAGUCCCUUCAAGUGAAUCUGGGCCGUCGGAUCAAACCGACAUUGAUUGAACGGUUAUUGUUGAUCCUUUAGGUCGGUGGAGCAAUAUCCCGAAAGAGAGUCCUGAUUGGACUCUGGCUGAGGGCGGGCGCCCUGUCCCUGUGUCCUCUCGGCCUCCGCUUCGGUCCCGUGGCUUCUGGAGUCUUCUAGAUGAUAGAAAAUUACGCGGCACCUUAAUAUCUCUAUGUAAACCCGACGUGUGGGCCUUUCUUCCGUAUUUCCUGAUAACCCCCUGCAGAAAUAGACAAACACCAAAACUUGUGGAAUUCUGUCAGAUAAAACCCUAAGUCUAGGUGUUGAUUGUAUUUGGAUCCUUUUCUAUGAUUAGUUGAUGGUUAAAUGUGAGCAUUAAGGACCGUCAACAAGCUCCCCCAAGCUUAACCUUUGCUCGUCCCUGAGCAAAGAUGAACUCAAGAGUUUCUGCAGUGGUUUCAUAACUUAAAGAUACACAUGCAUUUAAACAAGAUCUCAUCUCUGGUUAGAGUAAACUGUUAAGACUUAAAACUUACUCAUUUACCUUUCACCAUGGGACUUGUAACCAUCACUUCUGUCUUGAGUAGUUAAAAGAUAGAACAGUCUAGUCAAGCACCAUGUCUCUUGUUCUUCGAUUAACUAUAGCUCUGGAGUUUUUGCAGAUUUUCAACUAAAACUCAGAGAUUCCUUGUAUGACUCUCUCUAGUCUCUCUUUUGUGGUAUUUCUGGAUCCUUACCAAGGCAGUAAUGGUAUAUGCCUUCUCUCAAAGUAUGUAGUAUUUUUGGUAUGGGGCAUAGUGGCAUUGCCUUCUCUCUCACCCUACUCUAAUAAGGUUUUGAUAUCUGGAGCUCAUAGGUGGGAGACAGCUAAUACAUACUUACAAGACAUUUAUUGCAUAGUCAAACCAUGGAUCCAGAAGAACAAGUCAAUAAGUCAAAUCAAGAUGUGCAUGUGUGGCGAAUGAAUGGUGUAUGGUGAUAACAAUGGUGAAAGUCUAAUUCUACUUAUGCUCUUUUAAGGGGAUACAUACCUUUCUUGCACUUUUGAAACUUUUUGAGGAGAAUGAGAUGCUCUAUGUUUUCUUUUUCUUUUCUCUCAGGUGGGUAUCUUGUACCCCUAAUUCUACUAUCGGACACUUGUCCAUUUUUACCUCUCGUCUCACUUUUUGUUUUCUUCGAGGUUCCGGGCACUUGCCCCUUUUUAUUUCCUCGUAUAUAUUUUUUUUUCUUUUUUUUAGAGCACUCAUCUCAUGAGAUAAUAUAGCAAGUGGUAGUAACAAGAUAACUUGAGCAUUUAUUUCACAGGGGAAAAACAGGAAUAUUUUUGGCUAUUCUCUCCCGGAUUAGGAGUAGAAUAUUUUUGGGUGGUUCUGGAGAUGGAAAUGGAUGGAUAUAUGUGGAUGGUACUUCCGGAGUAGAAGUAACAUAUAUGAGUGAACGUGCAAGUGAAAUCUUGAUUUAACCACAUGACAAGCUCCUAAGGGUCUACACAGCUUGACCACACUCAAUGCUCAUAGUAAAUGUGUGGCCCAAAGUCUAGCAAGCAUGUAUAUAUGGCUGUGGUAGGAAUUUAAACUCUCAUCAUACAGGAACUCAUCAUGCAACAUUUUAAAGAUUUUCAAAGAUAAAAUUCUCCAGAAUUCUAGCAUCUCUAGGAACAGAUAAACAGCAGCUCAACCUUCCCAUAUCGUAUCCAUUAACGACUUAGACUUUAGAUCAAGUACUCUCCCCACAAGUUCAGGUUUAGAGCAAAUCUUAAUUCAUAACAGUCAAGCCUAAACUUGAGAGAGAUUUUAAUUUUGAGAACUAGUCAUGGCAGAACAAUUAUUCAUCAUUUCCAUGUGAGAGCUAUCAUGAGGGUUCAUAGCAAACUUUAUUUAUUUAUUCAAUUAGCAAACUAAAAAAAGAUAUAUAUAAGCACGAAAUCUUUAUUUGAGUUUUUAUGAUUAUGCAUCUUUUUAUUAUUUGAGUAAAAUAUAAACAUGAGUUGAACACUUAGCUGGAUAAAUGGGGGUGCUCUCCCCCAAGCUGGAUUUCGACGUAAUUUCUUCUGAUGUAGCUAGCAGGUGGCGGAGGUGUAUUUGAAUGUCGGCAGCACCCUGACAGCGAUUAGGAUAUCCUCCGUCUCCUAGUCUUAUUUGAUCCUUGAAUUCUGUGGAGCUCAAAUAGACAACAAAGCUUUGUGGAACUGGUUAAGUGUUAGCAUAAAUAUCUAGCCUCUAUCAUGUUGAGCCUCCUCAAUAAAUGUUACUCAUUAGUAGGAUCAUAAUUUUAUUUUUAUAAUUUUAUUUUUAUAGGACAGGAAUAUAUUUAUUUUAUUUUUAUGCCACCACAGUGAAUGUACUUAUGGGUUUUAUGCCAUGAGCAUACUCACAUGGGGCUUACUAUUUUUAACAUUUUUAUUUUCUUUUUAAGAUGAUAUGAUCCUGAUUAACUAAAAUAUUUGAAAGGAAAAAGAUAACUACCAAGUUUACCUCUUGGCAAGGCGUUCGGUGUUUUUACGUCCUCGGAACGGGACUCUCUGUUUUCUCAGUUGUCCUGGGAUUCGCUGGAUGAAGUAGUCGGUGGUUCCGGUGGCGCCUGCUCUUUGUGUAUAACUAUCUUCUCUCGCCACACCUGACUCGGUGCUAUGGUCUCUUCAGGACAGUUCUGUUCAAGUUAUAUGUCUUCAGACUUUACUACUUCUCCUUCGUAGUCUGCCCAUCCGUCCUUGACGAUCUGCCUCCUCUGGUUGCGGUUGCAUUGUCUUCUUCUUGUCUUGACCUGCUUAGAGUCUUCAACUAUAUAGUUAGGGUUAGUAAAAUAGCGGCGUACCUUCUCAGAGGGGAAAUGCAUGUGGACUUCUCUAGUUCCAAUGUAGAUGAUUGCUUUAACGGUGCUGAGGAACGGUCUUCCAAGGAUGAUGGGUGGAUUGUACUCGUCUUCUCCCAUGUCAAUAACCUUCAAUCUUUUAGAAUGUCUGAUCUGCCAUCUGGAGCUGAAUGUAUGUUGGUUGUAGGGACAUGGUUCCAUGCAGGAGCUGAUAAGUGACUGCGGCCAUUAUGUUGACGUUAGAUCCGGUGUCAUAGAGUGUCUUCUGAAAAGAAUAUCCGUUGAUUGUGCACUCGAUGCUUGGAACACCAGGGUCGUCCUUCUUGAUAAAGAAAGGUGGCUUGAGUUGACGAUCUUGACCUCCUUGAGCUGCAGUGACCAACUUAGCUGACUCGGUACACAUUUGCUUGUUCCUAUUCCUCCUGUUGGUCCUCUUCCUUGGUUCAUGUCAGGAUUACUCUGAGAUUUGUAUAGUCUUGUUCUUGAAGGAAAACAUCUCCUUCCUUCCCUUGAUGUAGAAACUGAUCUUGGUAGCACUAGCGUAGAUGAUAGCUCCCGAGGUGUUCAGGAAUGGCCUCCCUAGAAUGAUGGGUGCCCUCUCAUCACCACCAGUCUCUAUCACCACGAAGUCUGCUGGAGCGUAUAAGGUACCAACUCGGAUGUAGAGGUUCUUCAAUAUUCUCUUUUGGAAACUUAGCGUCCGAUCUGCAAGCUGCAAACACAUGGUUGUUUCCAAUACAGGAUAUGUAAAGAUUUUUUCAUCGAGUACCCUUGGCAUAAUAUUGACGCUGGAGCCAAAGUUGCAGAGUGCUUAUAGGAAGUCCACCAUGCUGAUGGAGAUCGGGAUGACGGGAUGUCCUGGAUUGUAUCUCUUGACCCGUAGAAGGUCAGUAAUUACUUCCACCACGUGGUUACUCCAGUAGUUAUGUCCUCAAGCAUCUCAGGGCAGUGAUUGCCUGAGUGUCCAGUAUCUCCAGUGUGUUUGUGCUCGUAGAUCUAGGUUCUUCACUUGGUGGAGUCUGGCAGUUAUAAAGGUGCUUCAUAUUUCGCUCAAAAUGUACCUGCUCAUAGAGACAAGGCAGAGAUCAAGUGCAUGGGCCCUGUUGGUGGAAAACACCAACAGAACCAAAAGUGUAUUUGUUCUUCUCUAACCUUAAGCAUAGUGAGCAAGACAAAGUUGAUGGAUAAUAAGAUCAUGAGUAUAGCAUUUAAAGCAUUUGUCAGAUCAGAUCGCUCAACCUAAUGGAAAGAUAAUCAAUCUAUAUUUAUGUUUAUAUAUAUCUUAAAAAGAUUGAAUGUGCAACAUUUUAGUUCAUAUGAUUAGGAGUGUGGGAUCACAAAGGUGGACGGACUAAACAUAUUGAAUCGAUUGGGUUGGUUAAUCUAGAAUUGUAAAUCAUACAUGUUUGUCUCUUUUAUUCAUGUGAAUGCUAGAACCAAGGAGAAGCUUAUAGAAGUGAUAGUCAAGUACCUUAAGAUGUUACCUUACUUGAAGAGUGAUGGUACAGUAUCACCUUCUAGAAGCUUUCCUUUCCUAGCGGUUGUGCAUCGUGUUUGUAGCACCCUCCAUGGAUCAUCUCUUGUGAGCUAUGCCUUCCUUGUGUAAAUUGUUAAACUUCACGUGCCUCUCUCUUUGUCUCCAAUGUGAGUUUAUCUCAGGACUUCCCAGGUCGAUAUUGAAAGUUUUCCUGCAGGGGUUAGUCCAACAAAAUAUCCAGUAUCUACUAUAGCAUACUAUCGGCUCAAAGAUCAACCUAGACACCAUGUCUAAUUUGAUUUAGGAGGGCAUUUUAACCUAAGCAUCAUGCUUAAUUUAAACUCCCUUGGAAGUAAGAUCAUCAUUCCUAAACUAAGCACCAUGCUUAAUUAAGAGAUAAAAGAAACUACUCCAAACCUAGACAUAUACUAAAGCAAAUAAAGGUAGCAUG
rnacentral:lncRNA from 1 species